rnacentral:sRNA from 1 species
GACCCACUGGGGGGGGGGGAGAGAGAGAGAGAGAGAGAGAGAGAGAGAGAGAACAGGAGUAUCUUUUUCCCUCUCUCCCUCUCUCUCCCCCUCUCUCGCCCCCCACCAUGCCGGCUUCCUCUGUUCUUUUCUUCACCUCUCUCUUCCUCCUCUUCCUCCCCCCCUCUCUCUGUC